rnacentral:piRNA from 1 species
UUUCUAGGACAAGGUCAUAGAAGC